rnacentral:lncRNA from 1 species
CCUCGUGCUCUACGAAUGGGAGUUCAUAUCUGUCUGUUAUGGAGUAGAUAUCAUCCUUCCCUUCUCAGGAUACUAAUAACAAUUUAACAGGCUGGCUGAACACAGCCUGCAUGCGCUGAGAAUUAUCAUCCUCUCCCCCUGUUCCCCCCCUGGCUCUUAGGAUCCGUAUCACGAGGGCGGGAGCACCCCCCGCGCGGCGGGACUGAGAGCCAGCCCUCUUCCCCCCCUGGCUCUUAGAGCCCCAUCGCAGGGGGAUGGAGGCCAUCCCAGCCGAGGCGGGGUCUCAGAGCGAGCCCUCUUUCCCACUGGCAUUAGGACCCCCGUCGCAGGAGGAGAGGCACCCCCCACAGGCGGGACUGAGAGCCAGCCACCCUAAGCCUUCGCUCUUAGGACCCCCAUCACCGGGGGGGGAGGCACCCCCCGAGCGGCGGGGACUGAGAGCCAACCCCUCUUCCCCCCCUGGCUCUUAGGAACCCCAUCGCAGGGGAAGGAGGCACCCCCCACGAGGCGUGACUGAGAGACAGCCCCUCUUCC